UGGGUCUACGAUAGUCAUUUAGGAAAUUCCAGUUUUAGGAUGGGGGUAAGGUGGACGAAAGAGAGGUAGGUCUGUACGACUGGGGUUUAGAAGGUAAACAGAACAUCUUCGAUGAUGGACACGAACCGUUAAUUUACUGAUGAUAAAGAUUUCUUCAUCCGUGGCUGCCGAAACGAUUUGAGGGACACUUUAUAAGUGUGAUGCAAGGGCGUGGACGGGCACCGAAGCGUGUCCAUGCUAACAGCGAGGUGCAAUCAGACGAAAAUGAAUUCUCUUUCCACCCCACAGGAGAUGCAUUUAAUAGCGCAAGACAUCAGCAUGCAGAAAUGGAGGGAUACUUCGCAACAACACAUGUGACUGUGCUCCUGGUUAUGUUGGACAAAAUUGCGAGCUUGGACCUAUGAGAGACUGCACUGACUAUGCAAAGAUGGGACAACUCCUUCAGAAUGACGUCAGAGUUGUGCGCCCACGGCCAGCGUGUUUUUCUCCGUGUUCUGCUUCACUUCAGGACUGAUGACUACGAUGGUCAGAGUCAACAACAAAGUCAACUUCACGAGACCUUGGCGAGAUUAUCGCGAAGGGUUUGGAAAUGUGAGUGACACCCAUUGGCUAGGACUUGAAAAGAUGUACAUCAUGACGUCACAGGACCGCCGUUAUCAGCUGCGCAUUCAGGUUACUCUCAACAACGGCACUCAGCUGAACAUCUUCUACAACAACUUCACGGUCAGUGACGAAGGUAACUUCUACCGCAUUGGACUACACAAGCAUGGAGAACACCAUUGCACCCGUCGGCGACUGUCUGUCUGAUCUACGCGGCGCCAACUUCAGCACUUACGACAGCGACAACGACGGCGACAGCAGCGUCAACUGCGCAAGUCGUCACAGCGGCGGCUGGUGGUUCCGUGGCAACACGUGCAGCACGUGCAACCCCACGGGUCAGCUGCUGCAGCCCGCCAACGGUAUGAGGACGGGAGUGGACAGCGAGGUCUUCUGGAUCAAAGACCUUGGAGAUGUCGUGCCUUCUAGAAUUCGAUU